rnacentral:rRNA from 1 species
GACGAACGCUGGCGGCGUGCUUAACACAUGCAAGUCGAACGGAAAGGCCCUGCUUUUGUGGGGUGCUCGAGUGGCGAACGGGUGAGUAACACGUGAGUAACCUGCCCUUGACUUUGGGAUAACUUCAGGAAACUGGGGCUACUACCGGAUAGGAGCUCCUGCUGCAUGGUGGGGGUUGGAAAGUUUCGGCGGGUGGGGAUGGACUCGCGGCUUAUCAGCUUGUUGGUGGGGUAGUGGCUUACCAAGGCUUUGACGGGUAGCCGGCCUGAGAGGGUGACCGGCCACAUUGGGACUGAGAUACGGCCCAGACUGCUGCGGGAGGCAGCAGGGGGGAAUAGUGCACAAGGGGCGGAAGCCUGGUGCAGCAACGCCGGGUGCGGGAUGACGGCCUUCGGGUUGUAAACCGCUUUCGCCUGUGACGGAGCGUGAGUGACGGUAAUGGGUAAAGAAGCACCGGCUAACUACGUG